rnacentral:ncRNA from 1 species
ACGGGAAUCAGGGUUCGAUUCCGGAGAGGGAGCCUGAGAAACGGCUACCACAUCCAAGGAAGGCAGCAGGCGCGCAAAUUACCCAUUCCCGACGCGGGGAGGUAGUGACGAAAAAUAACAAUGCAGGACUCGUUCGAGGCCCUGUAAUUGGAAUGAGUACACUUUAAAAGCUUUAACGAGUAUCCAUUGGAGGGCAAGUCUGGUGCCAGCAGCCGCGGUAAUUCCAGCUCCAAAAGUAUAUAUUUAAGUUGUUGCGGUUAAAAAGCUCGUAGUUGGAUUUUGGGCGCAGGCGGCCGGUCCGUCGCAAGGCGUGUACUGGACGUCCUGGCCUUCCCUCCGGUUCUCCGCCGGUGCUCUUGACUGAGUGUCGGCGGCGGCCGGAACGUUUACUUUGAAAAAAUUAGAGUGUUCAAAGCAGGCUCUCGAGCCUGGAUAAUGGUGCAUGGAAUAAUGGAAUAGGACCUCGGUUCUAUUUUGUUGGUUUUCGGAGCGCGAGGUAAUGAUUAAGAGGGACAGACGGGGGCAUUCGUACUGUGCCGUUAGAGGUGAAAUUCUUGGAUCGGCGCAAGACGAACGACUGCGAAAGCAUUUGCCAAGAAUGUUUUCUUUAAUCAAGAGCGAAAGUCAGAGGUUCGAAGACGAUCAGAUACCGUCCUAGUUCUGACUAUAAACGAUGCCAACUAGCGAUA